rnacentral:rRNA from 1 species
CCUACGGGCGUCUGCAGUGAGGAAUAUUGGUCAAUGGUCGCGAGCCUGAACCAGCCAAGUAGCGUGAAGGAUGACUGCCCUACGGGUUGUAAACUUCUUUUAUAAAGGAAUAAAGACUGGCACGUGUGCCUGUUUGUAUGUACUUUAUGAAUAAGCAUCGGCUAACUCCGUGCCAGCAGCCGCGGUAAUACGGAGGAUCCGAGCGUUAUCCGGAUUUAUUGGGUUUAAAGGGAGCGUAGAUGGGUUGUUAAGUCAGUUGUGAAAGUGUGCGGCUCAACCGUAGAAUUGCAGUUGAUACUGGCAGCCUUGAGUAGAGUUGAAGUAGGCGGAAUUCGUGGUGUAGCGGUGAAAUGCUGAGAUAUCGCGAAGAACUCCGAUUGCGAAGGCAGCUUGCUAAACUGACACUGACAUUGAUGCUCGAAAGUGUGGGUAUCAAACAGGAUUAGAUACCCGGGUAGUC